UUGGCCAAGGUAUCCCCGAGGAUUAGUUUUGGUUUGAGCCUUAUUUUUAAUAAAAGUCAGAAGCCUUAAUAACUGUUUUGGUAAAUUACAAAUAUUUUAUGGUUUAAGAAAUAAAUGGAAAACCUUAUGAAAUGGUUGUGAUUUGUUGUUUAAACUUGCCUCCAUUUUACUCGCCUUUAGAUAUUUAUGAUAAUGUCUGUUUACUCAUUGAGAUUGCAAAAUCUCACCCAACUCCUUUCCAAAUAUUUCAGGCCUGUGAUAGCUUGUAGAUACCGAUUUUGUCGAGGAUUCUAGUUUCUAUCUCACAGAUAGUAGGUUACUAUCACCAACACUUGGUGUAUUUAGGGGCCACUUGUCAUUGUAAUUAUUAUUGUACAUUAUAACUUUGUAAAAUUUUAUAUGUAUGAAUUUAUUUUACUUACACGUGUUUCUAUAAAUAUUAUUUUAUAUAAAAAUGCUAUAUUUUUGUCUUUUGAUUUACUUGAGCCGAAAACGACUGGUAAUUAUUUAAAACGGAAUGUUUAAACACGAUUGCUCAUAAAAAAGGUAAAAAACUGAUAUGUAAGCCUUGCGGGGUUCCGAUUGGCAUUCCGGGUAAUAAGUGUCAAUCGGGACGUCGCGGUGGCUGUCAUGGGCCCGAGGGAGGUUUCGGGUCGUGACACAUGCCUUUGAAAGUUUUGUUACUGGAUUGAAGCGGUUUUAUAACUUUAUAAAUGAUUUUAAAUUGAAUUUGUUUUCAUUUUUCCUUAAAAUAGAUCAUAAUUUAAUGUUUGCAUUGGGAGACAUGAAGCAAAAGCCAUCAAUUGACAAGAAAAGUUUAUUAUAGUCAGUCAUGCCUUCGAAAACCUAGUUACUCGCUUUAAAUGGUUUUAUAAUCUUAUAAAUGUUUUUAAGUUGAAAUUUGUUUUCAUUUUUAUUUAAAACAGAUCAUAAUUUGAUGUUUUGCCUUGGGAAUUGUGACGCGAAAGUCACCCAUUGACAAGAAAAGUCCAUUUAUAGUCACUCAUGCCUUCGAAAGUCUAGGUCCUUGCUUUAAAUGGUUUUAUAAUCUUAUAAAUGAUUUUCAGUUGAAUUUGUUUUCAUUUUUGGUUCAAACAAAUGAUAAGUUGAUGUCUACAUUGGGAAACAUGAAUCAAGAGCCAUCUGUUGAGAAGAAAAGUCUAUUUACAGUCACUGAUGCCUUCGAAAGCCUUAUUACUUCAUUUAAGUUAUUUUGUAACUAUAUAAAUGAUUUUAAAUUAAAUUUAUUCACAUUUUCCAUUAGAAUAGAUCGUAAUUUGAUAUUUGCAUUGGGAAACAUGAAGCAAAAGCCAUCCAUUGACAAGAAAAGUCUUUUUAUAAUCAAUCAUGCCUUUGAAAGCCUAGUUACUCACUUGAAAUGCUUUUAUAAUCUCAUAAGUGAUUUUAAGUUGAAUUUGUUUUCAUUUUUGGUUAACACAGAUCAUAAUUGGAUAUUUGUCUUGGGAAACAUGAAGCAAAAGCCAUCAAUUGACAAUAAAAGUUCAUGUAUAGUCACUCAUGCCUUUGAAUGCCUUGUUACUCGCUUUAAAUGGUUUUAUGAUCUUAUAAAUGAUUUUCAGUUGAAUUUGUUUUCAUUUUUGGUUGAAACAGAUCAUAGGUUGAUGUUUGCAUUGGGAAAUGUGAAGCGAAAGCCAUCCAUUGACAAGAAAAGUCCAUUUAUUGUUGCUCAUACCUUCGAAAGCUUUGUUACUCGCUUUAAGUGGUUUUAUAACUUUAUAAAUGAUUUUAAACUAAUCUUUUUUUUCCUUUUAGGUUAAAAGAGAUCAUAAUUUGAUAUUUGCAUCGAGAAACAUGAUGCGAAAGCCAGCCAUUGAUAAAACAAUCAAUUUAUAGUCACUGAUGCCUUCGAAAGCCUUGUUACUCACUUUAAGUGAUUUUAUAACUUUAUAAAUGAUUGUAAGUAGAAUUUUUUUCAUUUUUCAUGAAAAGGGAUCACAAUUUGAUAUUUGCAUUGAGAAACAUGAGUCAAAAGCUAUUUGUUGAGAAGAAAAGUCCAGUUAUAGUCACUCAUGCCUUUAAAAGCCUUAUUACUCCAUUUAAGUGGUUUUGUAGCAUUAUAAAUGAUUUUAAAUUGAAUUUAUUUACAUUUUUCAUUGAAAUAGAUCGUAAUUUGAUGUUCACAUUGGGAAACAUGAAGCGAAGGCCAUCUAUUGACAAGAAAAGUCCAUUUAUAAUCAAUCAUGCCUUUAAAAGCUUAGUUACUCACUUGAAAUGCUUUUAUAAUCUCAUAAAUGAUUUUAAGCUGAAUUUGUUUACAUUUUUGGUUAAAACAGAUCAUAAUUGGGUGUUUGCCUUGGGAAACAUGAAGUGAAAGCAAUUGAUUGACAAGAAAAGUCCAUUUACAAUCAUUGAUGCCUUCGAAAGCCUUGUUACUCGCUUUAAAUUGUUUUAUAAACUUAUAAAUGAUUUUUUGUUGAAUUUGUUUUUUUUUUGGUUGAAACAGAUCAUAAGUUGAUGUUUGCAUUAGGAAACGUAAAGCGAGAGCCAUCCAUGGACAAGAAAAGUCCAUUUAUAGUCACUCAUGCCUUCGAAAGCCUAGUUACUCACUUAAAUGGUUUUAUAAUCUCAUUAAUGAUUUUAAAACAAAUUUAUUUUCAUUUUUAGUUUAAACAGAUCAUAAUUGGAUGUUUGCCUCGUAGAACGUGAAGUGAAAGCCAUCGAUUGACAAGAAAAGUCCAUUAAUUGACACUAAUACCUUUAAAAGCCUUGUUACUCGCUUUAAGUGGUUUUAUAACUUUAUAAAUGAUUUUAAACUGAUCUUUUUUUCAUUUUAGGAUAAAAGAGAUCAUAAUCUGAUGUUUGCAUCAGGAAACAUGAAGUGAAAGCCAUCCAUUGAUAAAAUAAAUCCAUUUAUAGUCACCCAUGCCUUUGAAAGCUUGUUACUCGCUUUAAGUGAUUUUAUAACUUUAUAAAUGAUUUUAAAUAGAAUUUGUUUUUCAUUUUUCAUGAAAAGGGAUCACAAUUUGAUGUUUGCAUUGGAAAACAUGAGUCAAAAGCCAUCCGCUAAGAAGAAAAGUCCAUUUACAGCUACUCAUGCCUUUAAAAACCUUAUUACUCCAUUUAAGUGGUUUUGUAGUGUUAUAAAUGAUUUUAAAUUGAAUUUAUUUACAUUUUUCAUUGAAAUAGAUCGUAAUUUGAUGUUUUGCAUUGGGAAACAUGAAGCAAAAGCCAUCCAUUGACAAGAAAAGUCCAUUUAUAAUCAAUCAUGUCGUCGAAAGCCUAGUUACUUACUUUAAAUACUUUUAUAAUCUCAUAAAUGAUUUUAAGUUGAAUUUGUUUUCAUUUUUAGCUAAAAUAGAUCAUAAUUGGAUGUUUGCCUUGGGAAACAUGAAGUGAAAGCCAUCUAUUCACAAGUAAAGUCCAUUUGUAGUUAUUCAAGCCUUUGGAAACCUUGUUACUCGCUUUAAAUGGUUUUAUAAUCUUAUAAAUCGUUUUUAGAUGAAUUGUUUUCAUUUUUGAUUGAAAUAGAUCAUAAGUUGAUGUUUGCAUUGGAAACAUAAGCAAAAGCCAUCCAUUAACAAGAAAAGUCCAUUUUAUUGUCACUAAUGCCUUCGAAAACCUUGUUACUCGCUUCUAGUGGUUUUACAACUUUAUAAAUGAUUUUAAACUGGCUUUGUUUUUCAUUUUAGGUUAAAAGAGAUCAGAAUUUGAUGAUCGCAUUGGGAAAUGUUAAGCGAAAGCAAUCCAUUGACAAGAAAAGUGAAUUUAUAGUCGUCCAUGCCUUUAAAAGCCUUAUUACUCGCUUGAAGUGGUUUUAUGACUUUAUAAAUGAUUUUAAAUUGAUUUUUUUUCAUUUUUCAUUAAAAUAAAUCAUAAUUUGAUGUUUGCAUUGGAAAACAUUAAGGAAAAGCUAUCCAUUGACAAGAAAUGUCAAUUUCUAGUAACUUAUGCCUUCAACAGCCUAGUUACUUACUUUAAAUGGCUUUAUAAUCUCAUAAAUAAUUUUUAGUUGCAUUUGUUUUCAUUUUAGGUUAAACCAUAUCAUAAUUGGAUUUUUGCCUUGGCAAACAUGAAGCAAAAGCCAUCCAUUGAUAAGAAAAGUCCAUUUGUAGUCACUGAUGCCUUCAAAAACCUUGUUACUCGCUUUAAGUGGUUUUAUAAAUUUAUAAGUGAUUUUAAAUUGAAUUUAUUUUCAUUUUUCAUUAAAAUAGAUUGUAAUUUGAUGUUUGCAUUGGCAAUUGUGAAGUGAAAGCCAUCCAUUGACAAUAAAAGUCCAUUUGUAGUCACUCGUGCCUUUGAAAGCCUAAUUACUUGCUUUAAAUGGUUUUAUAAUUUUAUAAAUGAUUUUAAGUUGAUUUUUUUUUAUUUUUGGUUAACACAGAUCAUAGUUUGAUGUUUUGUCUUAGAAAACGUGAUGCGAAAGCCAUCUAUUGACAAGAAAAGUCCAUUUAUAGUCACUCAUGCCUUUAAAAGCGUUGUUACUUGCUUUAAAUGGUUUUAUAAUCUUAUAAAUGAUUUUAAGUUGAUUUUCUUUUCAUUUUUAGUUAAAACAGAUCAUAAUUGGAUGCUUGCCUCAAGAAACAUGAGGCAAAAUCUAUUCAUUGACAAGGAUAGUCUAUUUAUAAUCACUCAUACCUUCGAGAGCCUUGUUACUCUCUUUAAAUGGUUUUCUAAUCUCAUAAAUCAUUUUAAGGAUUCGUUUAGUAACCCAAAAAUGACUUGGUGGAGGAAAUUGUUUUCUGUGUAAAAUGUUUUACAGAAAAAUUUAAUGUUUUCUAUUGUUUGGAUCAUUUUACGAAAAAUAUUUUUUAUCAUGGUGGAGUUAUUUAAGUGUUAAAAUAAUAAAUAAGAGUUGAGUACAAAAUAAUAUUGAUAUUUGAUUUAUACUAAUUUGGGAUCAAAAUUAAGAAUGAAAAUGAAAAUGGAUAAAAUCAAUAAUGAUAUUUCCCAAAGCAUUUAACCAUAAAUCUGUAAUGAAAAUAAACUCUAAUUUUCAAAAAAUUUUCCAUCUUAUCACUUUUUUAUCAUAACUAUAAAAAUAUAAAUAUUCAUCAAUUGUGUAAGAUAUCCAAAACCUAUACUUACAAAUAUGUAUUUGUUAAAUAACAAUUAUAGAAAUAUGUUUUAUUAUAAUUAUUAGUAAGAUUUAUUCAAUUUAUAAAUAAAAAAUUUAAUUGAAUUGAAUGGUUUCAUUAAAGUAAUAUUUUUUUAAUUUUAAUAGUGUUGUCUAAUUUAAAUAUUAAUAUUUUAAAGUUAAAUAUAAAUAUUUUUUAUUUUUUAAUAUUUUAAGUUAAAUAUUAAUAUUCAUUGAACUUAUACUCAUAAACUUAGUAUAAAAGUAUUUUUGUUGUUUUUUGAAAAUGUCUUACACCUUUCAAGGGUGUAAGACUUUUUUCGUGGUUAACCUUAUUGACUUGUAAAAUAUUUUACAUCUGAAAUUAAUUUUUCGUUUGCCAAACAAGCAUAAGUCUUGAAAACGUUUUUUGGAAAAUAUUUUCCUGCAAAACAAACGAACCCUAAGUUUAAUUUUUUUUUCAUUUUUGGUUAAAACAAAUCAUAAUUAUAUGUUUGCUUAAAAAAAUGUGAGGCAAAAGUCGUCCAUUGACAAGGAAAGUCUAUUUAUAGUCACUCAUGCAUUUGAUAGCCUUAUUACAUGCUUUAAGUAGUUUCAUAACUUUAUAAAUGAUUUUAAAUGGAAAUUUUUUUCAUUUUUCAUUAAAACAGAUAAUAAUUUUAUGUUUGCAUGGGGAAACAUGAAGCGAAGGCACUCCAUUGACAGGAAAAGUCCAUUUGCAGUUACUCACUUUCAAUGCUGUUGUAAUCUGAUAAAGGAUUUUAAAUUGAUUUUGUUUUUCAUUUUUGGUUAAAAUAGAUCGUAAUUUGACGUUUGCAUUAGGAAACGUUAAGUAAAAGCCAUCGAUUGAUAAGAAAAGUCCAUUUAUAGUCACUCUUGUCUUUGGAAGCCUAGUUACUCGAUUUAAAUGGUUUAUAAUUUUAUAAAUAUUUUUAAGUUGAAUUUUUUUUCAUUUUUGUUUAAAACAGAUCAUAAUUUGAUGUUUGUCUUGGAAAACAUGAAGCGAAAGCCAUCCACUGACAAGAAAAGUCCAUUUAUAGUCGCUCAGGCCUUUCGAAAGUCUUGUUACUCGCUUGAAAUGGUUUUAGAAAUUUAUAAAUGAUUUGAAUUGAAUUUUUUUUCAUUUUUCAUUAAAAUAGAUCAUAAUUUGAUGUUUACAUUAGGAAACAUGAAGCGAAAUCUAUCCAUUGACAAUAAGAGUCCAUUUAUAGUCACUCAUACCUUUAAAAGCCUAAUUUAUAAAUGAUUUUAAGUUAAAUUUUUUUGUAUUUUUGGUUAAAACAGAUCAUAAUUGGAUGUUUUCCUUACGAAACGUGAAGAGAAAGCCAUUCUUUGACAAGAAAAGUCCAUUUAUGUUCACUCAUGCCUUUGAAAACCUUGUUACCGGCUUUAAAUGGUUUUAUAAUCUUAUAAAUGAUUUUAAGUUGAUUUUUUUUUUGGUUAAAACAUAUCAUAAUUAGAUGUUUGGCUCGGGAAACAUGAGGCAAAAGCCAUCCAUUAACAAGGAAAGUCCAUUUAUAGUCACUCAAGCCUUCAAGAGCCUUGUUACCCGCUUUAAAUGGUUGCAUGAUCUCAUAAAUGAUUGUAAGUUGAAUUUUUUUUCAUUUUCAGUUAAAAAAGAUCAUAAUUUGAUGUUUGCAAUGGGAAACUUAAAGUGAAAGCGAUCCAUUGACAAGAAAAGUCCAUUUAUAAUCACUCAUGCCUUUGAAAGCCUGUUACUUGCUUUAAGUGGUUUCAUAGCAUUAAAUGAUUUUAAAUCCAAUCAUAAUUUAAUUGUUUGCUUCAGGGAACAUGCAGUGAAAGCCAUCCAUUGACAUGAAAAGUCUAUUUAUAGUCAUUCAUGCCUGUGAGAGCCUUAUUAUUCACUUUAAGUGGUUUAUAGCUUUACAAAUAAUUUUGAACUUAGUUUGUUUUUAUUUUUUGUUAAAACAUAUCAUAAUUUUAUGUCAGCAUUGGGAAACAUGAAGCAAAAGCCAUCCAUUGACAAGAAAAGUCCGUUUGUAGUCACUUAAGCCUUCAAAAGCCUUAUUACUCGCUUUAAGUGGUUUUAUAACUUUAUAAAUGAUAUUAAAUUGAAUUUUUUUUAUUUUUUGUUAAAAUGGAUCAUAAUUUGAUGUUUGCAUUGGGAAACAUGAAUCGAAAGCCAUCCGUUGAGAAGAAAAGUCCAUUUACAGUCACUCAUGCCUUCGAAAGCCUUGUUGCUCGCUUUAAGUGGUUUUAUAACUUUAUAAAUGAUUUUCAAUUAAAUUUUUUUCAUUUUAGUUUAAAAGAGAUCAUAAUUUGAUUUUGCCAUAGAUAAACGUGAAGUGAAAGCCAUCCGUUGAAAAAAAAGUCCAUUUAUAGUCAUUCAUGCCUUCGAAAGUCUUGUUACUCGCUUUAAUUGGUUUUAUAAUUUUAUAAAUGAUUAUAAGUUGAAUGUUUUUCAUUUUUGAUUAAAACAUAUCAUAAUUGAAAUUUUGCUUCAAGAAAUGUGAGGCAAAAGCCAUCCAUUGACAAGGAAAGUUCAUUUAUAUUCACUCAUUCUUUCAAGAGCCUUGUUGCUCGCUUUAAAUGAUUUUAUAAUCUCAUAAAUAAUUUUAAGUUGAAUUUUUUUUCAUUUUUGGUUAAAACAGAUCAUAAUUGUAUGUUUGUCUCAAGAAACGUGAAGCGAUAGCCAUCCAUUGAUAAGAAAAGUUCAUUUACAGUCACUAAUGCCUUCGAAAGUUAUGUUACUCACUUUAAGGGGUUUUAUAACUUGAUAAAUGAUUUUAAAUUGAAAUUUUUUUCAUUUUAGGUUAAAACAUAUCACAAUUUGAUGUCGUAUUAGGAAACGUGAAGUGAAUGCUGUCAUGACCCAAAUUCGAGUCAUGACCGGAGCAUGGGCCCAAUGGACGUAGUCCACUAAGCCCAAGCAAGCCUAUUAAUCUGACAUGUUCAUCAUUCCAUCAUAAACUGCUAAGUCACAUUUCAUAACUUAGGAUCAAAAUAAUAUUAAACAUUUGCCACCUAAUACUAGCAUACUAAACAAGUGUAUAUACAUUAUCUACAACAUGUAUCUUAAUAAUUUACAUUAGGUUUGUCUAUACACAACAAAAGAAUACUCGACUGCCAGUGGAGGGACUCGAACGAAUGUACAGCUACUGAAUGCCGAGACACCUACCAAAAGAUGGAUACAAGUCUACAAGGACACCUCGUCCUAGUUAUCGGCUGUCUUGUGAUCUGAAAACAUGAAGUUGAAACGGUGAGUAUAAACCCAGUGAGUGAACAAGAAAGGGAACAAGUAUACCAUAAGGAAUGUUUGACGAAAUCAUGAUGCAUUCUUUUUCAAAACAAUGCAAUUUGUUUUUGUUCUUAUUAAAACCCCUAAUGAAAACCCCACAUGAGUAAAUCACUUUAUGAAAGGGUCCAUAUUCAACAAAGGAUUUGGAGAGUGAAAACUUUAAUAGCAUUCAUGCGAGAAUGCCUUUCCGUUGCAGCGACACUUGAUUUAAAUUAUCAAUUAACCGAGGGUUUCUUGACUGGCUGAGGAUUUCUCACCAAACCUCAUAUUAAGCUUAAUUCAUUUAUUCCUUAAUGUUGGAAAUCCAUGCUCAAAUAUGGUAGCGAAGAAGUGGAAAAUAGGGCCAUAAUUGAUCAAAAUGUGAGACAAAACAUAAAGUUUUUCACUACAGCGAGAAUGCUAUAGUAUUUUCUCGCUGUAGCGAGUUUUCGGCCAGCCACCCUCCAAAACCCCUAGAGUUUCUCACUGCAGCGAGAAUCAGAACAUCAAGAAAAAAUGUCCUUUUCCCUUAAAACAAAGCCAUCCUGCUAAAUAACAAAAGCAACAUAUAACACAUGUAAACUCCUAAAUUUCAACAAAUCAAAUACUCACACUUUUGCAUUUCAACCAUAUACCAUAUAUGUAUGUAUAUAUAUAUAUAUAUCAAUCAUCAUGUACACCCUCCCAUCAUCAUCAUCUCAUAUGCAACGGCUUAUGCGCACUCCCACUCGCACAUAGCCAGGUUAGCAACAGCUUAUGUGCACUCCCACUCGCACAUAGUCGGGUCAGCAAUGGCUUAUGUGCACUCUUACUCGCACAUAGCCGAGUCCACAUCAACAUAUAAAGAAGCACCCAAUGCAUAUCAUGCAUAUUAUCAUAUUUUGAUAACACAUAACCCAUUGUAUAGCACAUUUUCACAAUAUAAAAUCAUUUCACCAAAAGCUUGUUCCCAAGGUACAUUUUCAAAGAGAAGUUGGAUAAAAUCAUUCACUUUCCGCAAAACAAGUUUGACAUGCAAGUCCACUCACCGGUAUAUUGUUAAGCCUUUAGCUGACUCUAAUUCCCCUAAUGAUCCAAUUGGAAGGAUGGGACUUCGUUAGAACCUAGAAUCACAUUAGCAUAAGCAAUAUGUCAAUUCACACACUAUAAACCCUAAAAGCUAUCUCUUAGCUAGCUUUCAAUUGCCACAUUAAAUGGCUAUUUAUGUUCACUAUCUUAAUCACUAAAAAAGGAAUGAACAUACUCAACAAUAAAACAACUCAUAAUCCCAAUUACUAGCCAUUAUUCAUAGCUAAAAAUUAAGCUUGGUUCAUCACUCACCCUAGGGUUUCUUUAUAGUAGAAUUCUCUUCUAAUAGCUUCUAAACAAAUAGGGUAAUUCUCUCUUUCUCUCUCUAGAACGCCCAACUAGUGAGAGAUAGUAUGAAAAUAAGAUUUAUCAAGGGUUUUAAAGUGAGAGAGUGAAAGAAUACAAGGCUUUUAGUCAAAAGGGCACAAAGAUAUGAAAAUUAGAGCUAGAGAGAGAAAAUUAUGCAAGCUCCAUAUCAAGCUUCCAUGGAGGUUGGAAGCAACGUGAGAUAGAAGAAGAAGAAGAAGACAAGCUGCUGGAAAUUCAAGAAGCUGCUGGAAGAAGAAGAUAUUUAUAGCCCAAGCUUAUCCAUUCCCUUGAAAUUACCAAAUUACCCCUCCACAAAUUAGCUUAUUCUCCUCCAAUCUUUUAUGCAAUCUUUUUACUCUUUUGACACUGGGACAAGGUCCAUAAUGGUUUAGAAAUGCUCGAGUUCAUGAAAACUUAAAAAUUCUAACUUGAGGUGAAAAAUGACCAUUUUGCCCUUGUUGUGAAAAUCAUCAAAAUUUUUGUUUCCUUGUCAUUUUACCCAUAUUUUCAUCAUUCAUUUAUGCCUUAGGCCUACUUAGGCCAUAAAUUUGUUUAAAAUCUUACUUUUAUGGGCUCUUUAAGGAAAUGACGAAAUUACCCCUGAUCAGGGAUAUCGCGUAUACUUCCCUUUACGAGUCUAUAAAGGUCAAGGUCUCACAAAUGCCUUCCAUUAACAAGAAAAGUCUUUUUACUAUCACACAUGCCUUCGAAAGCCUUGUUACUUGCUUUAAGAGGUUUUAUAAUUUUAUAAAUAACUUUAGAUUGAUUUUUUUCCAUUUUUUGUGAAAACAGAUCAUAAAUUAAUGUUUGCAUUGGGAAUUGUGAAAGGAAAAUCGUCACUUGACAAGAAAAGUCCAUCCAUUAUCACUCAUGCCUUCGAAUGCCUAGUUACUUGCUAUAAAUGGUUUUAUAAUCUUAUAAAUGAUUUUAAGUUGAUUUUUUUUUAUUUCUGGUUAAAACAAAUCAUAAUUUGAUGUUUGUAUUAAGAAACGUGAAACGAAAGCCAUCCAUUGAAAACAAAAGUCCAUUUAUAGUCACUUAUGCCUUCGAAAGCCUAGUUACUCAUUUUAAAUGGUUUUAUAAUCAUAUAAAUGUUUUUAAGUUGAAUUUGUUUUUAUUUUUGGUUAAAACAAAUCAUAAUUCGAGGUUUGCAUCAAGGAAACAUGAAGCGAAAAUCAUCCAUUGAUAAGAAAAGUCCAUUUAUAGUUACUCAUGCUUUCGAAAGCGUAGUUACUCGCUUUAAGUAUUUUUAUAACUUUAUAAAUGAUUUUGGAUUGAAUUUUUUUUCAUUUUAGGUUAAAAUAGAUCGUAAUAGAUGUUUGUCUCAAAAAACGUGAAGCAAAAGCCAUCCGUUGACAAGAAAAGUCCAUUUAUAGUCAUCCAUGCCUUCGAAAGUCUAGUAGCUCACUUUGAGUGGUAUUACAAUCUUAUAAAUGAUUUUAAGUUGAAUUGUUUUACUUUUUUUGUUAAAACAGAUCAUAAUUGAAUGUUUUUCUUGGUAACAUGAAUCAAAAGCUAUCCAUUGACAUGAAAGGUCCAUUUAUAGUUACUUAUGUCUUCGAAAGCCUAGUUACUCGCUUUAAAUAAUUUUAUAAUUUUAUAAAUGAUACAAAAUUGAAUUUUUUUUUCAUUUUUGGUUAAAAUAAAACAUAAUUUGAUGUUUGUCUUAGGAAACGUGAAUCAAAUUCCAUCCAUUGACAAAAAAAGUCCAUUUAUGUUCACUCAUGCCUUUAAAAGACUAGUUACUCGCUUGAAGUAGUUUUAUAACUUUAUAAGUGAUUUCAAAUUGAAUUUUUUUUCAUUUUUCAUUAAAACAAAUCUUAAUUUAAUGUUUUCACUGGGAAACAUGAAGUGAAAGCCAUCCAUUGAGAAGAAAAGUCCAUUUAUAGUCACUCAUACUUUCAAAAGCCUAGUUACUCGCUUUAAAUGGUUUUAUAAUCUUAUAAAUGUUUUUAAAUUGAACUUUUUGUCAUUUUUGCUUCAAACAUAUCACAAUUUGAUGCUUGGCUUGGGAAACAUGAAGUGAAAGCCAUCCAUGGACAAGAAAAGUCCAUUAUAGUCACUCAUUCCUUUCGAAAGUGUUGGUACUCGCUUUAAGUCAUUCUAUAAAUUUAUAAAUAAUUUUAAGUUUAAUUUUUUUUUUCAUUUUCAUUAAAACGGAACAUAAUUUGAUAUUCGCAUUGGGAAACAUGAAGCGAAAGCUAUCCGUUGACAAGAAAAGUCCAUUUAUAGUCAUUCAUGCCUUCAAAAGCCUAGUUACUCACUUCAAGUGGUUUUAUAAAUUUAUAAAUGAUUUUAUAAAUUUAUGAAUGAUUUUAGAAUGAUUUUUUCAUUUUUCAUUAAAAUAGGUUGUAAUUUGAUGUUUGCAUUAGCAAUUGUAAAGUGAAAGCCAUCCAUUGAUAAGAAAAGUCCAUUUGUAGUCACUCAUGCCUUUGAAAGCCUAAUUACUCGCUUUAAAUGGUUUUAUAAUCUUAUAAAUGAUUUUAACUUGAAUUGGUUUUCAUUUUUUGUUCAAACAGAUCAUAAUUGGAUGUUUGCCAUGAGACAUGUGAAGUGAAAGCCAUCCAGUGAUAAGAAAAGUCCAUUUAUAGUCACCCAUGCCUUCGAAAGCCUUCUUACUUGUUUUAAGUGUUUUUAUAACUUUAUAGAUGAUUUUAAAUUGAAUUUGUUUUCAUUUUUCAUUAAAACAUAUUGUAAUUUAAUGUUUGCAUAGGGAAACAUGAAGCAAAAGACAUCUAUUGAUAGGAAAAGUCCAUUUAUAGUCACUCAUGCCUUCAAAAGUCUUGUUACUCGCUUUAAAUGGUUUUAUAAUCUUAUAAAUGAUUCUAAGUUGAAUUUUUUUUAUUUUUGAUUAAAACAAAUCAUAAUUGGAAUUUUGCUUCGAGAAACGUGAGGCAAAAGUCAUCCAUUGACAAGGAAAGUCCAGUUAUAGUCACUCAUACCUUUAAGAGCCUUGUUGCUCGCUUUAAAUGGUUUUUUAAUCACAUAAAUGAUUUAAAGUUGAAGUUUGUUUUUCAUUUUCAGUUAAAACAGAUCAUAAUUGAAUGUUUGUCUUAAGAAAUGUGAAGCGAUAGCUAUCCAUUGAUAAGAAAAGUUCAUUUAUAGUCACUAAUACCUUCAAAAGUCAUGUUACUCACUUUAAGGGGUUUUAUAACAUUAUAAAUGAUUUUAAAUUGAUUUUUUUUUCAUUGUAUGUUAAAGAUAUAACAAUUUGAUGUUUGCAUUAGGAAACGUGAAGUGAAUGACUUCCACUGACAAGAAAAGUCCAUUUACUGUCACACAUGCCUUCGAAAGCCUUGUUACUCGCUUUAAGAGGUUUUAUAAUUUUAUAAAUAACUUUUGAUUGAAUAUUUUUCCAUUUUUGGUGAAAAUAGAUCAUAAUUUGAUGUUUGCGUUGGGAAUCAUGAAGGGAAAACCAUUAUUUCACAAGAAAAGUCCAUCCAUUGUCACCAUGCCUUUGGAUGCCUAGUUACUUGCUAUAAAUGGUUUUAUAAUCUUAUAAAUGAUAUUAAGUUGAAUUUUUUUUUUAUUUUUGGUUAAAACAAAUCAUAAUUUGAUGUUUGCAUGAGGAAACAUGAAACGAAAGCCAUCCAUUGAAAAAAAAGUCCAUUUACAGUCACUAUUAGCUUCAAAAUUAUUAUAGUUUUGAUUAUGACAAAAUGAUUAAAUUUGCUUGAACAUUAUUUGAGUAGUCCUUGACAAUUUCUUAAAAUGAUUUAACUCCCAUACAUUUGUUCUUGCAUAGACACAAGCUUGACUCUUAAAGUUAUUGAACUAUAUUUAUAAGCUUGUAUGACUUAGAUGUAUGAGUGCUUAUGAUUCUCAUUCAUUAAAGGUUGAUUUAAAGAUUAAAGGAAAAUCUUGAUGCACUCAUUAAGGGGGAGUUUUGAAUAUCUUGUUUAAUGAUGAAAAAGAAAAAGGAGAGAACGAAGACUAAGUUAAAUAGAGUUUAAUGGACAUCAUGUUUAAUUUAUAUGUGUGAUGCUUAGUUUUGGUUUUGUUGAAAAUUAUGUAAAGAAAACUAGAUGCAUUGACUAAGGGGGAGCAACCCAUUACGCAUAAAGAUUUGAAGCAUUCAUAUUGAACAUAGACAUUGCAUUCUUAAUCUAGGAGUGCUUUGUGAUCAUAAAAAAUAAGAGAUAGAGAAUGUUAACUCUAUAUGUUUUUGAUGAUAAUAAAACAUUCCCAUUUAUUUGUGUCGAAUAUCUUUACUUGAGUGUGCAGGAAAAUUAAUAUAUGAAAUUAAUUAUUUAAUUCUUCAAAGAGUAUAUCAAAAGAAAAAGAGGGAUAAAAAUAACAAGAUGUAAUUGUCUAACAAGGAAGAAUGUUGGUUGACCAAGUUUCAAAUUGGAAGAAUGGCAGGCUGAAGAGUUUGAGAAACAAAACCAACUUAGUCGACCAAGUCAGUCGACUAAGUGCUCUCUGCUAGAAUCUGCAACCGAAAAUAAAAUCAACUCAGUCGACCAAGUCAGUCGACUAAGAGCUCUCUAUCUGUAAUUUGAACCAGAGCACUACAAGACAGAUUAACGGCUAUAGCUCAUCCUCAACUAUUUCCAAUGGCCAUAAACUGCCAAACUGCAAUCAGAGUUGCAUCUCCAAGUAUAAAAGGGUCUUCCAACAAUUAGAAACAAGUUUUUUGAGAAGCUUUGAAAGAGAUUUGAGUUAUAGAAAGUAGAAAAACCAAAAAAGCUUCACUGCACUUGUUUGCACUUAAACGCCUACUCUUUUCAUUUGUAUUUAGGACUCAAUCUUGUACCACCCAGAUCAACCAGUGAUCAUAGGUACUUUCUUUUACUACCUUUCUUGUAUUCUUAGAGUGAGGAAGUCACUCUAAGGGGUUAUUCAAGCUUGGGAUAGCUUGAUUGUUGUAGGUUGUGGUUGAGCCUUGGAAAAUCACUUUGGGGUUUUAGUUGAGCCCGUGAAAAACUAGUGUAAAAGGUGUUGGCUGAGCCAAGUAAAAGUCAUUGUAAAGCUUGGUGAAAGCUUGUGAAUUUCACCAGUUCUAAGUGACGUUGUGGAAAAAUCCUUGGUUGGCCAAUCAAGGUAGUGGAUGUAGGUCUUGGACCGAACUACUUUAAAUUGCUGUGCAUCUUAUACUCUGUUUUUAUUUUUUUAAGUUUUGGAAAUUAGUUUCCAAUAUUGUUAAGAGCCAAAUUGUGUUAUUCACCCCCCUCUAGCACACAUUAUAGGGACCAACAGUCACUUACGCCUUCGAAACCCUAGUUACUCACUUUAAGAGGUUUUAUAUUUUUAUAAAUAACUUUAGAUUGAAUAUUUUUCCAUUUUUGGUGAAAACAGAUCAUAAUUUGAUGUUUGCAUUGGGAAUCAUGAAGUGAAAACCAUCAUUUGACAAGAAAAGUCAAUCCAUUGUCACUCAUGCCUUCAGAUGCCUAAUUACUUGCUAUAAACGGUUUUAUAAUCUUAUAAAUGAUAUUAAGUUGAAUUUGUUUUUUAUUUUUGGUUAAAACAAAUCAUAAUUUGGUGUUUGCGUAAGGAAACGUGAAAUGAAAGCCAUCCAUUGAAAAAAAAGUCCAUUUAUAGUCACUGUUAGCUUCAAAAUUAUUAUAAUUUUGAUUAUGAGAAAACGAUUAAAUUUGCUUGAGCAUUAUUUGAGUAGUCCUUGACAAUUUCUUGAAAUGAUUUAACACCCAUACAUUUGUUCUUGCAUAGACACAAGCUUGACUCUUAAAGUUUUAGAACUAUAUUUAUAAGCUUGUAUGACUUAUGUGUAUGAGUGCUUAUAAUUCUCAUUCAUUAAAGGUUGAUUUAAAGAUUAAAGGAAAAUCUUGAUGCACUCAUUAAGGGGGAGUUUUGAAUAUCUUAUUUAAUGAUGAAAAAGAAAAAAGAGAGAAGGAAGACUAAGUUAAAUAGAGUUUAAUGGACUUCAUGUUUAAUUUAUAUGUGUGAUGCUUAGUUUUGGUUUUGUUGAAAAUUAUGUAAAGAAAACUAGAUGCAUUGACUAAGGGGGAGCAACCCAUUACGCAUAAAGAUUUGAAGCAUUCAUAUUGAACAUAGACAUUGCAUUCUUAAUCUAGGAGUGCUUCGUGAUCAUAAAAAAUAAGAGAUAGAGAAUGUUGACUCUAUAUGUUUUUAAUGAUAAUAAAACAUUCCCAUUUAUUUGUGUUGAAUAUCUUUACUUGAGUGUGCAGGAAAAUUAAUAUAUGAAAUUAAUUAUCUAACUCUUCAAAGAGUAUAUCAAAAGAAAAAGAGGGAUAAAAAUAACAAGAUGUAACUAUCUAACAAGGAAGAAGCUUAUUAGUGAAACAAGGAAGAAUGUUGGUUGACCAAUUUUCAAAUUGGAGGAAUGGCGGGUUGAAGAGUUUGAGAAACAGAACCAACUUAGUCGACCAAGUCAGUCUACUAAGUGCUCUCUGCUAGAAUCUGCAACUUGAAACAGAAUUAACUCAGUCCAUAAAAUUAGUCGACUAAGAGCUCUCUAUCUGCAAUUUGAACCAGAGCACUACAAGACAGAUUAACGACUAGAACUCAUCCUCAACUGUUUCCAAAAGCCAUAAACUGCCAAACUGCCAUCAGAGUUGCUUCUCCAAGUAUAAAAGGGUCUUUCAACAAUUAGAAAUAAGUUUUUUGAGAAGCCUUGAAAGAGAUUUAAGCUAUAAAAAGUAGAAAAACCAGAAAAGCUUCACUUCACUUGUCUACACUUAAACGCCUACUCUUUGCAUUUGUAUUUAGCACUCAAUCUUGUACCACUCAGAUCAACCAGUGAUCAUAGGUACUUUCUUUUACUACCUUUCUUGUAUUCUUAGAGUAAGGAAGUCACUAUAAGGGGUUAUUCAAGCUUGGGAUAGCUUGAUUGUUGUAGGUUGUGGUUGAGCCUUGAAAAAUCACUUUGGGGUUUUAGUUGAGCCCGUGAAAAACUAGUGUAAAAGGUUUUAGCUGAGCCUAGUAAAAGCCAUUGUAAAGCUUGGUGAAAGCUUUUGAAUUUCAACUGUUCGUAGUGAAGUUGUGGGAAAAUCCUUGGUUGGACAAUCAAGGUAGUGGAUGUAGGUCUUGGACCGAACCACUCUAAAUUGUUGUGCAUCUUAUACUCUAUUUUUAUUUUCUUAAGUUCUAGACAUUAGUUUCCAAUAUUGUUAAGAGCCAAAUUGUGCUAUUCACCCCCCCUCUAGCACAUAUUAUAGGGACCAAUAAUUGGUAUCAGAGCUAGUUCCUGUUUUUAAGGUCUAACACCCUUUGGGAGGAUCCAAAUUGCUCUCCAAAAAUUCAUAGUUGCUGAGGGACAAUCAACAAACAUACCACUUUUGUUUGAUGGCUCUAACUAUCCUUAUUGGAGCACUAGGAUGUCAAUUUACAUUAGAGCUAUGGAUUAUGAGAUUUAGGAUGUCAUAACCGAUGGUCCCUUCAUUCCUUCAACACUAAAUGUUGUAACCAAUAAGCUAAUUCCUAAACCAAGGUCCAAGUGGACAGAAGUUGAAAUAAGGAGAGUACAAACCAACUCUAAGGCCAUGCAUACUCUCAUUUGUGCACUUGAUUAUAGAGAAUAUGAUAAAGUGUUCAUGUGCAAAAGUGCCAAGGAAAUUUGGCAAAAAUUAGAAGAGUUAUAUGGAGAAACGAAUAUGAAAAAGGAAUUGGAAGAAAACUCUUGCGAGGAUCAAUGCUCAACAAGCAACAUGGCAAAUGGAGACAAGGAAUCAAGUGAAGAUGAAUCUUUAAAUCAAAUUGAAUUAUGCUUCAUAGCUCUUGAAGAGUUAAAGGUAACUUCUUCAUCAUGUGAACUUAAUUCAUGUGCUUUCAAUAAAUUACAUGAUGCUUUUGAGGAAGAGAAAAUGAAUAUAAAGAAUAAGAAAAUCAUUUCCACACUCGAUGUUGAAAAUGAAUUUUUGAUGAAAACAAAAACUGAUUUGGAAAAAAAAUGAAAAUUUGGAAAAGGAUUUUAAAGCUUACCAAGUGCAACUUUAUUUUUUGAAAAAAGGAAAUUUUGACGUGAAAAUAAAAUUUGAAGAUUUAUUAAAUGAGAAAGUGGAAGAAAAAUCAAACUUGUGCUUGAUGGCCAGAGAUGAUUAAUCCGAGGUGUCUUCUACUUCUUGUGAUAUUUCAAUUGAUGAGCUGCAAGAUGAAUAUGAAUGUCUCUAUGAUGAGUUUGAAAAGCUUGCAUCAAAAUAUAAAACUUUGAAAAGAAAGGCUGCAUCUCUUGAAAAUGAUUUGAAAAAGAUAAGACAUGAUUUCAACUAUGUUUUGGAGCAAAGAAAUUUUUUGCAAAUUGAAUUAAAACAUUCAAAAAUACAUUUUGAAAAUCUACAAUUAAAGUUGAAAAACAAAACAGAUGCUUUACAAGCUGCAGUUGCUGAAAAUAUUGCUCUUAAGAAUUUAAGAAAAGAAUCAUCAAGAAAGAGCACAAAUUUCAUAAGAAAUGCUAAUGAUUUCUCCCCUAGAUGCUUUGUAUAUGAUAGAACUGGACAUUUAUCCUAUGAUUGCUUUAAAAAAAGAAAUGUACAGAAAAUUAGAAAAAUUUGGGUUCCAAAAGGAACUUUAUGCAACGAGACUAACUUUCAAGGAUCCAAAGCUAUUUGGAUACCAAAGAUCAAAUGAAAAAUGUUUCUUGUAGGUGUGCUAGAGCAAGGAGAAACAAUUUUUGAAGAAUGAGUGCUCUUGAGUCACACAUAAAGGAAAAUGGGUGAUCUCUAUGCUAAAACUCUUUUAUUUGUUUAAAUGAGAUUUUUGAUUGCUUAUUUAUUGAAUGUUUCAUUGAUUUAGCUUGAUUUCUAAAAUUGUUUGCUUUUCUUAAUUGAAAACUUUGGUUGCCUAUUCUUGCUUGAAUAUUAAGUGCAAAAUUCUUUGAGCUUUAUUGAUAAAUCUUGGCUAUGCAACUUGAUUUGAUAUGUACAUGCUAUAAGUUGCAAGGAAGUAUGAAUCUAAAGAUGGAGUAUGUACUUAUAUUUGAUCUUGAAUAUGUCAUCAUCCUUAUUUUGAAAAAAUUGUUUUAUUAAGAUUGAUUGAUUAUUGAAAAUUGUCUCUAUAAAAUUUCCUCAUGAUUUAUGACAUUGUUUCUAUACUACUUCUUUGAGGAAAAAUUAUUUUUGCGCAUAAUUUUGAAACGUAAAAGGUUGAAUAAUGUGAUAGAAAUAUGAGCAUACUUGAUGACUUACACUCACAUUUAUUCAAGUAGCCUAAAACAAGGAAAAUUGAGUUAAAAAAAUUUAUCCUUGAUUUCCUUGUGCCUAACAUAAGUCGACCAUUUGAACAAUCUUGAUUUACAUUCUAGAACUUGUUUGAAUAGUUCAAGAUGGUUGAUAAUGAGCUUGAAAGUUUUGACUACUUGAAUUGUCACUUUUAAAGCAAAAUGAGUUUAUAUGGGAAAAACGUUGCCAUCCAUUAAGUUUAGAAUGAUAUAUGAAUUGAACAAGUUUGUUUCAUAAUGAAAAAUACUUGUGACUUCUUCUUAUUGGAUGUGCAUAUUUGCUUGUAAGCUUGAAUGGUCACAAGGGCAUUUUUGGAACAUAAUUGUGAGAUAUUUGCAAACGACCCUUGACAUGCAUAUACAUGAUUCAUUAUGCCCAUUACAUAUUUCAUAAAUCAUUUAAAGCAUAAUGAAACAAAAUUGAGUGACAUUGAGCUCAUGAUUUUUCACAAAGCAAGUCUAAUCUUCAAUGUUUCAACUUAAAAAGUUUGCAAAGAAAGAUUAAAUAUUUAUCAAUUGAUUUUCUUGCGAAAUCUUUUUAUUCUCUUAGAUUGAAAUUAAUUCUUUAUUUUUAAUGACAUAGCAUGAUUGAGCAAACUUGAUUUGAUAUAUUUAUAUAAAUUGCACAAAUUCGAUGUUGCUUGGUAUUUCUCUUAUGAUUGGUGAAAUUGAUUGAAAGGGAUUUCUUAAGCAUUUUUUUUAUGCUGAAAAUUCACGCAGGGCCCAACACCCUAUUAAAUUUUAUUAAUUACGAAUAAAAAGUACAAAGGAGGAGGACAUGAACCGUACCUCCAAAUUACAUGAUCAUGAGAGAGUUUCGGAGAAGCACCUAAAGUAAGGAAAACCAUUUUACGUGCAUAACUUUUGAUGCUACCGUAAAACGGAUUUUCCUCACUAUUACAUUGAGAUAAUAAGCUAGAAUAAAGUUUAAAACAGGAAAUCUAAAUACGAUAAACACCUAGAAUGGAGUGUUUCAUUUUAUGACUAUAUUUUUUACUACCGUCAUAAAAUUGAAACGCAUCCAUAUUACAAAAAUCUAUGUGAAUUAAUACAAAGGAACAAUAAACUAGGAGUAUUACAAGGGAUUUCUUAAGCAUGAUUUUGAGUGUGAUAAUUUAACAUUGAUGGAAUUUUUCAAGCAAAAGAACAUAUCUAUUUGCAAUGUUUGGCAUCAUUGAGAUUAUAAUGAUUUCAGUGAUAUAUAAUUGGAACAAGCAUACCUUGUGUUGAUAAUGCCAUUAUAUCUUGUUCUUGUUACAAAUGAUUACUUGAAUAACCUCAAGGGCAUUUUUGUUAAUAUGCAGAAAAAUUGUAAAAAAUGCUAAAUUUGAUGCUUAUUAUGCUUAAACAUUGUUUAAAUACUUGUUAUACAUGUUAUAAGUCAUAGUCAUACAUCAUGAUGUAAAUUGAAUAUGUUUGAGCAUAUUAAAGGCAUGAUUCUUCAAAUAAGCAUUUCAACUAUUUAGCAUUUGUGAACAAUGAGCAAUAAAAGCCAAAAUUUGAGUUCACAUGUUUUUCUUGAAGAAUCUUUGAUCAUACAUGUCUAAAAUAAUGUUUUAACAUGGUUGAAAUGAGAUUGUAAUUUGUUCUCACACAAAUCCAUGUUUUGAGAUCAUUAUACCUUAGAAUAUUUCAUGUUUUGCACCUUUCUUUGGAUUUUCAAUAUGUAGGAAUCAAGCAUAAUUGACUCUUUAGCAUUGCUAGUCAUGUCACAACCCGGUACCCCCCUUGAGCCCGUGACAAAUGCCGUGACAUCUCGGUUGACAUUCGUUACCCAGAGUGCCAACCGGAACCUCGCAAGGCUUUAGUACCAUUUUUUUUUCAUCUCCCCUAUGAGUAAUCAUCGCCAAACCUCGUUUUUAAAGAAUUUUAAGCUUUUUCCCUUUCCAAACUGUGGAAAAAUAAUUUUCUCCUCACAGGGGCAUUUUCAUCAUUUUUCCUCGAAAUUUUUCGAACCCGACUAAAAAUGUAGUAGAUGAGUGGAAAACACAUAUUUCAUGAUUUAAAAUAAAGUUGGGUGUCUAAAACAUUUAUUGAAAAUGAUAUUGCAACUAUUUGAAUAAAAUAAAAAUAUUCAAUAAGAUAUUCUAAUUUCUUGUAAAACAAUAUUUAUAGAGUCAUCGGUAAAUAAUUUUUGUAAUGUAAAAGCUAAAUAAAUUCAUACGUACUAUAAUACAGAUAACCGAGAUAUGAAAUUUACUUUACAAUGACUCAUGGGCCCACAAGGAACAAAAGUGCACAAAGGCAGUAAACCUACAGUUUUUGGAGUAGUAAAGUCGACUAUAAUCCUUGACGAUAUCUGCUAUCCACAGGCUACCUCAGGCCUGAAAUGGUUGAAAAUGAGGGCGGUGAGAUUAUAAAUCCCAGUGAGUAAAUACAUAUCAUCUAAACCAUCUAAAGUUGAGUAAAUGGAGAUAGAUAAAAUAGUUUAACAUACUGAAAUUCAUCACCUUUUAACUUGUUUCAACCAAAUAAAAUCAAUUCAUAUAAAUCGAGUAAUUAACAUGGCUUAUGAAUUUUUUAAAACUUUGGCUCGUGCCAAAAUCAGUAUCAUACUCAAUCAUCAGGGAUACCUUGGCCGAGGGCUAUCCCAAACUGAGUCCGCCAAGGCUGUUAAAAAGUUAUGUACGCAUAAAUCAUGUUUUUAUUUUGAAAACAUAGCCGUUUCUUGGCGUUGGCCGAGUUCACCCUCACGUGGUGGUUGGGCGUGAAGUGAACUCUAAAGUUUGACCUCGGGAGUUACCCUACGCGCCUCUCUAAUUGAGGUACAUAUAUAUGACCAGGUUCCGUGCCCCUCUAAUAGGUUGGUCUACAGAACCAGCCCACUGCAACAAGCUAAACCCACCAUACAAUAAAAAUUCAACAACAUGAUAUGGCAAUUUUAUCAUUAUCCAGCUUAUCAAGGAAAACAACAGUUUAUACAUUUCAACACAAAUACCAAUUCAGCCAUUCAUGCAAAUAUUG
rnacentral:lncRNA from 1 species